rnacentral:rRNA from 1 species
AGGGCGCACGGCGGAUGCCUUGGCGCAGGAAGUCGACGAAGGGCGCGGCAAGCCGCGAUAGUCCCGGGGGAGGCGCAGACGGCCUUCGAUCCCGGGGUGCCCGAAUGGGGGAACCCGCCGGGGGCAAUGCCCCGGCACCCGGUUGGCGAACGCAUAGCCUUCCGGGGGACAACCCGGGGAACUGAAACAUCUAAGUACCCGGAGGAAGAGAAAUCAACCGAGAUCGCGCCAGUAGCGGCGAGCGAACGCGCGCGAUGCCCAAACCCGGGACGGCGCCACAGCGUGCAUGCGCUGCCGCCCGGGGGUUGCGGGGCGCGGGAUUCCGGGCGAUGCACCGCCCGGCGCGCGGCGGAGGGACGUGCAGCGGAACGGCAUGGGAAGGCCGGCCGCAGAGGGUGAGGGCCCCGUACGCGAAGCACGUCCCCGGCGCGUCACGCGACCCCGAGUAGGGCCGGGCACGAGGAACCCGGCCCGAAUCAGGGGGGACCACCCUCCAAGGCUGAACACUCUCCUGCGACCGAUAGCGAACGAGUACCGCGAGGGAAAGGUGAAAAGCACCCCGGGAGGGGAGUGAAACAGCGCCUGAAACCGUGCGCCCACAAGCAGCCGGAGCACCUUUGCGGUGUGACGGCGUGCCUUUUGUAGAAUGAGCCAGCGAGUUGCGGGGCGCGGCGAGGUUAAGCUAGGAAGCGAGCCGCAGCGAAAGCGAGUCUUCAAGAUGGCGUCUUGUUGAGUCGCGUCCCGCAGACGCGAAGCCGGGUGAGCUACCCUGGGGCAGGCUGAAGCGGGGGUAAGACCCCGUGGAGGGCCGAACCCACGUCGGUUGAAAACGGCGGGGAUGACCCCAGGGUAGGGGUGAAAGGCCAAUCAAACCCGGAGAUAUCUCGUUCUCCCCGAAAUAGCUUUAGGGCUAGCCCCGGGGGAUCCCCGCAGGCGGUAGAGCACCGGAUCGGCGAGGGGGCGUCGCUGCCUACCGACCCGAGCCGAACUCCGAAUGCCUGCGGACCGGAACCCGGGAGUCAGAGCGCGUGGGCUAAGCUGCGCGCUCGAGAGGGAAACAGCCCAGACCGCCCGCCAAGGCCCCCAAGUCUCAGCUGAGUGGCAAAGGAUGUGCGUCCGCCCAGACAACCAGGAUGUUGGCUUAGAAGCAGCCAUGCAUUCAAAGAGUGCGUAACAGCUCACUGGUCGAGUGGACAUGCGCCGACAAUACACGGGGCUAAGCUGAGCGCCGAAGCGGCGGAUAGGAUAUUCUCCUAUGGUAGGGGAGCUCCCCCUGGGGGGCGAAGCGGAGGGGCGACCCUCCGUGGACCGCAGGGGGGUGAGAAUGCUGGCAUGAGUAGCGAGAGCGGCGUGGGAAACGCCGCCGCCGUAAGCCCAAGGUUUCCGGGGGAAGGCUAAUCCCCCCCGGGUCAGCCGGGAGCUAAGGCGAGGCCGGGAGGCGUAGCCGAUGCGCAACGGGUUGAGAUUCCCGUGCCGCCGGCCGGGCGCUACGACCGACGGGGCGACGGAGGAGGGCAGCCGGGCGGGGUUCUGGACGUCCCCGUGAAAGCGCGUAGGCCGGGAUGCAGGCAAAUCCGCAUCCCGCGAGGGCCGAGACGCGAGACGAAGCCGUUUUCGGCGAAGCCGGUCAUCCCAUGCUCCCGAGAAAAACCCCUAGGCAGCCCGGGCGGCGCCCGUACCAAAACCGACACAGGUGGGCGGGUAGAGCAUACCGAGGCGAUCGGGGGAACCAUGGCAAAGGAACUCGGCAAAAUCGCCCCGUAACCUAGGGAGAAGGGGCGCCCCGCGUAGGGUGGGGGAGGCUCGCCCUCCCGAGCCCGAGGGGGCCGCAGCGAAUAGGCCCAAGCGACUGUUUACCAAAAACACAGGACUCUGCCAAGCCGCAAGGCGACGUAUAGGGUCUGACGCCUGCCCGGUGCCGGAAGGUCACGGGGAUCCGUUAGCGGCGACGCGAAGCGGUGAACCCAAGCCCCGGUAAACGGCGGCCGUAACUAUAACGGUCCUAAGGUAGCGAAAUUCCUUGUCGGGUAAGUUCCGACCUGCACGAACGGCGUAACGACUUGGGCGCUGUCUCUGCCAUGGACCCGGUGAAAUUGCACUGUUCGUGAAGAUGCGAGCUUCCCGCGGAAGGACGGAAAGACCCCGUGAACCUUCACUGCAGCUUGGCAUUGGCGUCUGGUUCGGCGUGUAGAGGAUAGGCAGGAGCCCGCGAAGCGGGGGCGCAAGCCCCCGCGGAGGCGCCCUUGGAAUACUGCCCUCGCCGCGCCGGCCGCCUAACCCCGCACCGUCAUCCGGGCGGGGGACCGUGCCAGGCGGGUAGUUUGACUGGGGCGGUCGCCUCCCAAAAUGUAACGGAGGCGCGCGCAAGGUCGGCUCAGGACGGUCGGCAACCGUCCCGAGAGCGCAAGAGUGCAAGCCGGCUUGACUGCGAGGCGGACGUGCCGAGCAGGUGGGAAACCAGGCUCUAGUGAUCCGGCGGCCCCGAGUGG